rnacentral:lncRNA from 1 species
CUCUCAUCUCCCUGCCAAGACCUCAAAUAAAAUCGUUUCCUCCUGAAAAUGCCCAUCUCGGAACCUUGGCUGUGCCCCGAGGGAGGCACCGGAAUGGCAAAAGUGAGGACAUACGGCUGCCAGCAUCGUCUAUGCUCUAGAUAGGGGUCAAAUGUCAACUUUCUGCCAGGUCCAGCCCGGAUGUGAGGGCUGUGAAGGCAACAACCAAGGAACCAUUCCUUCGGAUGGAAGUCCUAUGGCAGAGAGAAGCUGAUGUUUGAAUUUUCCUGUAGAGCCCUUGAGGUUCCAUGAAUCAGUCUGGGAAGGAUGCAGGUUAAGUGGGAAGCAGAAGCCCUCAAUCACGUGAUGACGGAAAAGCCGAAAAGGCUGGGUUAUACCCUUAGGAAACCUAUUUGUUUCUUGGCUCCCUGCAGGGGCAUGCACACUAGCAAAGGCUCAAUCCCUUCAUUAUUCAUUUGAUCACAAAAGAAGGAAUGAGAGGAAAAAUACUUUUAUUUUUCACCAAGCAAUCACCAAGCGCAGUCUCAACGAAGAGCCCCUCCUUCUUUCAUGUCUUCUUUUGUGUGUGACUUACUCAGUCUAAGUUUCAUCCACAGGUAAAGGAACCCAAGCUGGGCCCAAUGCCAAGUGCACUUCUUCAAUGUUACAUUCUGGGACAGGAGAGAGGAUCACUGGUUGAGCCUACCUACUCUGUGGACACAUUGUAAUCCUGAAACUGUUCUGAGCUUCCAUUCAUGGCCAGGACACCUGAUCACUUCAUCGUUGGGUUCUGUGUUUGAAAACUGGGCCAGCUCUGAACCUGGGUGACAGAACACACUGUGGAGAAACCUUGUCUCUAGGAUCUUGCUCAUACACUCUUGGCUCCUCUUGCUCUGGUGGAGCUCCUCAGUGCCCACUGGGAAAGUGAUCUGGCUCCCAAGACCACCAGCCUGUUCAAGUCAUGGAUGGCACCAGUUUUCACAGGCUGAGUGAUUAGAAAACAGACUCUGGGACAGCUGUGUACAUAAGAGUCAUCUGGGCAUUGCUCUUACAAUCCCUGUAGAAGACAAGAGCUCAGAUUGACCCACCCGAAGUCCCUGGGAUUCACUUCUUCACCCUUCACACCUCGGCUUGCAGAAACAAGAUGCCACGUUUGACUUUAUGUGGUUGCUGGGAACAUGAAUUUGGGUCCUAGGGUUUACAAGUCAAGCACUUUACCCAUUGACCAUCUCCCUAGCCGUGUGACUGGCUUCUUUACCUUCAUGAUAACUACUCAUCAGCUAUAUUUUAAUCUGGCAAGGGGACUUGAAUUUGAAUGAGAUGACUCUAGUUAAAUAGUUUUGAUGAGGAGUGACAACUGAAGGCUCUUCGGGGCUAAAGGGAUACUUAGGUGUUGUGUUCCAUCCCCACCCCUGUUGACUAUAUAGGGCGAUACAAUGACUAACACAGGCUGGACACUUUAGAAGACAAACUUCAGACAAUUCCCCACCAAAAGGAUGUAUACCCUGGUUAUGGGUUUUUGGUUUGGGAGACUAUGUAUGCUAAGAUGAAUGUAGCUUGAUGAGUUGGGAAGACACUACAUAUGAGAUGAGCCAUGGUAAAGACUGCAUAAAGACAGGGGCAGACUUGGAUCUUUCCUUUCUCGGUUGCUAAAUGACUGAAAAAGCCUUUUAACCCCAUAGACCUUCUGCUCAUCUAAACAGAGUGGAGGUUGGCACUAUCUAAGACAUAUAAAGAACCGUCAAAACUCAGUGAUUAAAAUAUUAGACUAGGAAACUUAGAAAAGACAGAUCUGCCACUAAAGAGGCUAUAAAGAUGACAAAGUAGUAUAUGAAAAGAGGAUCAACAGCAUAAGCCAUCAUAGAAACACUCAGUAAACAUACAGUAUGAUACACUAAGGAGUUGAGGGGUCACUCAGUGGUUAGGGGCACAGAGGACUCUGCCAGAGGACUUGAGUUCACUUCCCAUCUCAUGUGGUUCGCAAUUGCCUAUAACUCCAGCUCCAAGGGUGAGGAUGGUCUUCCACACACACAUGCACACACACACACACACACACACACACACACACACACACACACACAUACACACAUACAUGCACAAAUGCGCAUGCUCACACACAAACACAUACUCACAUAUAUAAAUAAAAUAGAGAUCCUACCCUACUAUCAGAAUGGUUCAAAAAAUUUAAGGACAUCAACAAACACUGGCAAGGAUGUCAGACUCAUACGCAGCUACUGAGAAUGUAAAAUGGGACAAUCAGUCUAAAAACUGCAUUGAUGUCUCUAGGAAAUCAAACAUAUGCCUGCCAUAUGACCCAGAAAACAUUUUCCUAAGGCAUUUAUCCAAGAGAAGUGAAAGUGCACAAAAUCUACAUAUGCAUUUUCAUAUAUGUUGAUUUUCAAUAACUAGAAAUAACCCAAGCAUCUCACAACAAGCGAGCAAUUAGACAAACUACCAAGUCCACAUUCAGAAAUACUACUCACCAAUAGCAAUGAGAACAGUGUCGGUCUACACAACAACUCAGGUGGAUAUCAAGAGAAUCAUGCUGGGGAGGGAAAUUUCAGACUUCCGUAUGGUGUUUGAUAAAAUUUAUGCAACAUUCUUAAAAUUAAUCAAAGUAUAAAUCUGGAGACAUAUUAUUGCUGGUCACAGGUCGGGAGAAGGGACAGGUGGCAGUUGGUUCUAAAAGGUAUCACAAGAGGCCACUGAUGGGACGAGUCUAAGUUUGACUAUGGUGGUUUUCUUUUUCUCGGUUUUCUUUUUCUAUGAUAAACACCAUUACCAAACGCAAUUUGGAGAGGAAAGGGUUUGUUUCAUCUGACAGGAGACAGAUUGAAAGCAGGACCUUAAAGCAGAAACCACAGAGGGAUGCCCUUUAGUGGUUUGCUCCGUGUUCAGCUAGCUUUCUUAGACAACCUAAGCGACCUGCCUAGGGAAGAUGCUCCCCGUAGUAAACUGGACAGAGAAGGUACCACACACAUCCCCAUAGGCAACCUGAUGGAGGCCAUCCCUUAACCGGCAGGUUCUUUCUUCCCAAGUGUAUCUCAUAGAGAGGCACACGAGUCUCUCCACAUAACAAAGUUACAGACAGAGUGGCACCGGCCUAAAAUCUCAACUACGCAGGUGACAGAGGCAGAAGGAUUGCAAGUUUCAGGUAUGCCUGUGUUACAGAUUGGGAUCAACGCUACCUUGGGCAACUUAAGUCAGAUGGAACCAGAAGGCUGGGGAUACAUCUCAGCGGUAGAGCACUGGCUUAGCCUGUGUAGGUCAGUUUCUAGUAUGGCAAGCAAUCAAUGAAUAGCUGAAAAUAUGCAUGUCUAAGCACAGGGCAAAACUAUGAAACCUGGAUAUGACUAGUAUAGUCUGUCAAUUUUCUGGUUGUGAAGUGGUGUUGUGGUUAUGCAAUCUGUUGCCAACUAAUAAAAACUGGUAUGCAUAUGAA